rnacentral:lncRNA from 1 species
CGGAAGCAUGUUUUGCUUGUUUUUUAUUUGCAAAGGGACCGUAUAGCAAGUGACAUUUAGAUAUAAACGUCUGAUAAAAGAACAAUUGUAUGUAGCUGAGAGUAAAAGUGUUUUGUAAUCUUUUAACGCAAGAGAAGUUGAAGCGCGCUUGAAUGUAAACACAAAUAUUUUAAUUUUUCGAGUCAUAGCCACACACGUGCCAAUUCCGCAUCCAAUCCAUUUUGCUACGCACACUUAAGAUGGCGGCUGCGUGAAAACAGCUGAUCGGUUCUGUGGGCCGCUCUUGGUGUAUUUUUGUCCGUAACGUGAUUAGAUGAAAUCUCGCCGUACGAGGUACUUUCGCCCGAGAAGAAUUCUGGAAGCUGUGAACAUCAUGAAGACUGUGAAAGCGUAGUGCUCGGAUACGGAAGAAUCGAUGAAGGUUGGAAGGCAUCUCAACAGAUAGCUGGAAGACGGGAGGCGGAAAGUUGGGCGGCCUGGAGGGUCGCGUGCUUGCCGUGCUCGGCCGUACCGGCCCAGCUUCCGCCCCUGUGGAUUUUUUCCCUGGCGAUUCCGAGGUGAGUAGCAAUGUUCGUUGCUAUGUGUACCGAUGGCGGGCAGUUACACCGU